CAGAUUGGGAUACUCUUCAAAUAAUUAUGAAAUGCCGAGUCAGGUAUCAUUGUCAAUGGCGGGCCUCAACCCCUUGGGGUGUCUUCUGCGACCGGAGGAUUACAAAGAUUCUGAUACUCUCAAAUCCUGUCUUUUCGGAGUUUCAUCCAUCAUCCUUUGAUGUGGCUUC
rnacentral:sRNA from 1 species